AUGCCAGAUUUCCACAUGCAACCUCCUCCGUCUACCGGCUCCGCCCAUAGCCCUACCACCACCCGUCGUCCUUUACGCCACCAGACGAAGCCCGAGCUAUUCCCCAACUCCAGCUCGUGCAUUCUCCAAAUCCCAGAGCUCCUAAAUCCAGACUGCCAAAAGAGUACAGAGAUACAGCGGUUUACCAGUGACCGAGGUGCUGUGCGCGCGGAAAAGAAGGUGAUGCUUGACGGAGGCGAUGCGGAAAAGCAGGGCGCUGUUGAACGGAGGCGAGUCGUCGGAGUCGAUAUCUUCAUGGCCGUCACGCCAGGUCUUGUCAGCCGUCGCCGUUCUCCCGCCACCGGUCCUGGUCGCGGUCGCUGUGCCGUGCAUCAGCUACCACGCAUGCGCCGCGUCGAGGUCGCUGCUGCUCGGCCACCAAGUCUGGGCUGCAGUUGCAUAUCCACUGAUUGGCGUGAGAAGAUGCGGUGGAGCGAGGGUAAGGAGAUGGCAUUACCUGGGCCGUCGUUCGUCGCUGCUAUUGAUGCGGCACUCCUGUUCGUCGCCCCUGCCACAUCGAGCACCUCAUGGACUCGGGGUUGUGAGGAGGUCCGAUUUUUCCUUCACGGGCACAAGUUACGUACGAGGCUGGAGAGGUCGAACCACGAGGGGAGGUCGAACCAUCACGACCUUGAAUGUAUUUCCUGUGGUUACACAUGGUUUUCGUCAAGAGAUGCCAUCUCAUCGCUGACGGUCGAUACUCCAAGUUCUGGUGGGAAUGUAGGCACCGCUCCCUGGGCAACAGCAAAGUUUGAUGUCCUUCAGAAGCAGCUGGUGAGCCCUCGGGAUCAGCCAGACAAUAAGGCAAGUGCUGAUGCUCUCCAGAAGAACACGGUGGCGUCCAUUCCUAAACUUGAGAGGCAGAAAUCAUUCAUCAAACCGAAGCCAGAGGAGCCCUCUGCACCCACACUGGAGAAACAGAAGGCGUUCACCAAGCCAAAGCCGGAGGAACCCUCUGCACCUUCGGCUAGUCAUUAG
rnacentral:rRNA from 1 species